rnacentral:rRNA from 1 species
AGCUCCAAUAGCGUAUAUUAAAGUUGCUGCAGUUAAAAAGCUCGUAGUUGCAUUUCCGAGGCAAGGGAUUAGUCCGACCUUUGGUGGGUAUUUAAUCCUCUUGCCUCGUCCUUGAGUGGUGCUUCUUGGUAUUAAGUUAUCGAGGAGAUAGCCGCUCAUCGUUUACUGUGAGAAAAUUAGAGUGUUCAAAGCAGGCUUAUGCCGUUGAAUAUAUUAGCAUGGAAUAAUAAGAUAGGACCUCGGUACUAUUUUGUGGGUUUGAGAACCAAGGUAAUGAUGAAUAGGGACAGUUGGGGGUAUUCGUAUUCAGUUGUCAGAGGUGAAAUUCUUAGAUUUACUGAAGACGAACUACUGCGAAAGCAUUUACCAAGGAUGUUUUCA